UACGGAGGAUGCGAGCGUUAUCCGGAUUUAUUGGGUUUAAAGGGUGCGUAGGCGGUCCGGAAAGUCAGCGGUAAAAGCCCGGGGCUCAACCCCGGCGAGCCGUUGAAACUGGCGGGCUGGAGUUGGAGAGAAGUAUGCGGAAUGCGCGGUGUAGCGGUGAAAUGCUUAGAUAUCACGCAGAACCCCGAUUGCGAAGGCAGCAUACCGGCGCUCAACUGACGCUGAGGCACGAAAGUGCGGGGAUCGAACAGG
rnacentral:rRNA from 1 species